UCUAGUGCUGCUGCUUGUGUCUGCCAUUAUAAUGCUUGCAAUGACACACCAAGUUUCCUGUAGAGCUGGUGCUUUUGGGCAUACAAUUGGUGAUCGUGUCCUCUUGGAGGAACAGGCAUCGCCAGUAGAUUUGGCAUCACCGCCUCCAGGAUUGAGAAAACGGGAUCCUGGUUUUUUACCUCGACCUGAUGUGCCACCACUGUCUGGCAAUCCAUAAAGUUCUUCUCCUGCGAGGUACGAACGACUAAUUACGAAACACAACAAGCAAUAAACUUGAAGAGGUUCAAGUC